rnacentral:lncRNA from 1 species
CCGCAUAUCAAAACACACUGACAUCGGCACCAUGUAAGAGGCCACGCAGGCGAUCUACGUGCUCAGCAAUCCAAUGACCCAGGCUCGAUCUCACGCGCGUGAACAGCUCAAAUUCGUUUCCUCCUUAGGUGCAAUCAGACGGACGAGAUUAAUUGUGAUGAAUGACCCAGAUUCAACCAAAAAUGCCAAAAUUGGCCAGGCCAAGGAGAACUGUCAUUGUGGACGGCGGAGCCAACACCGGAGUACAGUGGCGACACCGUGCUAGAUUUCCAAAAUUGGUCAGAAAGAGUUUUGGACACCGAUU